UACGUAGGGGCUAGCGUUAUCCGGAAUUACUGGGCGUAAAGGGUGCGUAGGCGGUCUUUCAAGCCAGAAGUGAAAGGCUACGGCUCAACCGUAGUAAGCUUUUGGAACUGUAAGACUUGAGUGCAGGAUAGGAGAGUGGAAUUCCUAGUGUAGCGGUGAAAUGCGUAGAUAUUAGGAGGAACACCAAUAGCGAAGGCGGCUCUCUGGACUGUAACUGACACUGAGGCACGAAAGCGUGGGGAGCAAACAGGAUUAGAUACCCUGGUAGUCCCU
rnacentral:rRNA from 1 species